rnacentral:rRNA from 1 species
UACAGAGGUCUCAAGCGUUGUUCGGAUUCAUUGGGCGUAAGGGGUGCGUAGGUGGCGGGGCAAGUCUGGUGUGAAAUCCCGGGGCUCAACCCUGGAACUGCACUGGAUACUGCUUUGCUAGAGUACUGGAGAGGGAACUGGAAUUUACGGUGUAGCAGUGAAAUGCGUAGAUAUCGUAAGGAAGACCAGUGGCGAAGGCGAGUUCCUGGACAGUUACUGACACUGAGGCACGAAGGCCGGGGGAGCAAACGGG